rnacentral:rRNA from 1 species
AUUGAACGCUGGCGGCAGGCCUAACACAUGCAAGUCGAGCGGAUGAAGGGAGCUUGCUCCUGGAUUCAGCGGCGGACGGGUGAGUAAUGCCUAGGAAUCUGCCUGGUAGUGGGGGAUAACGUCCGGAAACGGGCGCUAAUACCGCAUCCGUCCUGAGGGGGAAGGUGGGGGAUCUUCGGCCCUCACGCUAUCAGAUGAGCCUAGGUCGGAUUAGCUAGUUGGUGGGGUAAAGGCCUACCAAGGCGACGAUCCGUAACUGGUCUGAGAGGAUGAUCAGUCACACUGGAACUGAGACACGGUCCAGACUCCUACGGGAGGCAGCAGUGGGGAAUAUUGGACAAUGGGCGAAAGCCUGAUCCAGCCAUGCCGCGUGUGUGAUGAAGGUCUUCGGAUUGUAAAGCACUUUAAGUUGGGAGGAAGGGCAGUAAGUUAAUACCUUGCUGUUUUGACGUUACCAACAGAAUAAGCACCGGCUAACUUCGUG